AACGAACGCUGGCGGCAUGCCUACACAUGCAAGUCGCACGAGACCUUCGGGUCUAGUGGCGCACGGGUGCGUAACGCGUGGGAACCUGCCCUUAGGUUCGGAAUAACUCCCCGAAAGGGGUGCUAAUACCGGAUAAUGUCUUCGGACCAAAGAUUUAUCGCCUUUGGAUGGGCCCGCGUUGGAUUAGCUAGUUGGUAGGGUAAAAGCCUACCAAGGCGACGAUCCAUAGCUGUCUGAGAGGAUGAUCAGCCACACUGGGACUGAGACACGGCCCAGACUCCUACGGGAAGCAGCAGUGGGGAAUAUUGGACAAUGGGCGAAAGCCUGAUCCAGCAAUGCCGCGUGAGUGAUGAAGGCCUUAGGGUUGUAAAGCUCUUUUACCCGGGAUGAUAAUGACAGUACCGGGAGAAUAAGCUCCGGCUAACUCCGUG
rnacentral:rRNA from 1 species